UACAGAGGUCUCAAGCGUUGUUCGGAUUCAUUGGGCGUAAAGGGUGCGUAGGCGGCGCGGUAAGUCGGGUGUGAAAUCUUGGAGCUUAACUCCGAAACUGCAUUCGAUACUGCCGUGCUUGAGGACUGGAGAGGAGACUGGAAUUUACGGUGUAGCGGUGAAAUGCGUAGAUAUCGUAAGGAAGACCAGUGGCGAAGGCGGGUCUCUGGACAGUUCCUGACGCUGAGGCACGAAAGGCCAGGGGGAGCAAAACGGGG
rnacentral:rRNA from 1 species